GCUAAAAGUGAAAUUUGUUUGGAACAUUAAGUGCAGUUUUAUCAUUAGUAGUAUUUUUAUGCUAUGCUGUUUCAAAUGUGUGUAAUACAGAAAUGUAUACAAUAGGCUGAAUUGUAUUAAUACAACUAAUUAAAGUGAAAUUGCUUUUUUUUUCUUUAUGCUGUAGAAAAUACAACUUCCAAAGAAACUGGCAAAACGCUAUCCUGCAUAUGAAUUAUAUCUUUAUGGAGAAGGAUCCUAUGCUGAAGAACACAAAAUUCUCCCUUUGACGGGUAUUCCAGUUCUCUUUCUUCCUGGUAAUGCUGGAAGUUAUAAGCAAGUCCGCUCUGUUGGCUCUAUUGCACUUAGAAAAGCAGAAGACAUUGACUUCAAAUACCACUUUGACUUCUUUAGUGUGAAUUUCAAUGAAGAACUGGUGGCACUGUAUGGUGGAAGUCUUCAGAAACAGACCAAGUUUGUACAUGAAUGCAUUAAAACAAUUCUCAAACUCUAUAAGGUAGGAGAUAAGCAUGCAAAUCAAUAGUGAUCACCUAUUAACAUCUUUUUUUUUAAGACAUUCAGCAUAUUUUAAAUCAUGUAUUUGUUUAUAUGGAAGUUACAGAUGGCACAAAGGUUUGUUUUUUGUUUUGGUGGGAGUCUUAUUUUGAACUCCGUGGUUUUGAAAUUUGAAUUGGAUUUAUAAGGGGCGCCUGGGUGGCUCAGUCAGUUGAGCGUCCGACUUUGGCUCAGGUCAUGAUCUCACGGUCUUUGAGUUCGAGCCCCACAUCAGGUUCUCU